AGUGAACGCUGGCGGCGUGCUUAACACAUGCAAGUCGAACGAGAACGGAAUAUAGCUUGCUAUAUUUGUCAGCUAAGUGGCGCACGGGUGAGUAAUGUAUAGAUAACCUGCCCUUAAGAAAGGAAUAACAGUUGGAAACGACUGCUAAUGCCCUAUAUGCCUUUAAUACAUAGGUAUGCAAGGGAAACGCUUUAGUGCUUAAGGAUGGGUAUGUAUGGUAUCAGCUUGUUGGUGAGGUAAUGGCUCACCAAGGCUAUGACGCCUAACUGGUUUGAGAGGAUGAUCAGUCACACUGGAACUGAGACACGGUCCAGACUCCUACGGGAGGCAGCAGUGGGGAAUAUUGCACAAUGGACGAAAGUCUGAUGCAGCAACGCCGCGUGGAGGAUGACACAUUUCGGUGCGUAAACUCCUUUUAUAUAGGAAGAUAAUGACGGUACUAUAUGAAUAAGCACCGGCUAACUCCGUGCCAGCAGCCGCAGUAA
rnacentral:rRNA from 1 species